AGAUGACUUGAAGUGCCAGAGUUUUGCUCAGAGUGAUGACAGCCAGCGAGGCCUGCUGGGACAGCGCUCGGGCCGCGGAGCGGGCUCGGCACUCACCGCCUGCAGGGAGCACAAAGGCUCAGGGUUACCACUUAAACACCGGCAUUUUCUCUCCAUCGUUCCUACACACACGGGGAUUUGCAGAGCUGUUGCUGAACAAUAGGUCUCAGGAUAUAAAAGACAUGCUCGGAAGUUACCCCUUUUUAAGCACGUUAAGAUGUCCAAGACUGAAGGUUUUCUCCAGAUUUUUCGCAGUUCCAAAGAAGACUUCAGAUGCUAAAGUAGGAGAGUGAUGCUUGUUUCAUGCUGGAUGUUGAGAGAAGACUGUUUUCUUAAAGAUUCAUCCUUUUAAUGAAUUUAAAUAUAAUAAAGUUUUAGAGCUUUCAGUGGUUGGUUUCA
ensembl:lncRNA